UGAGCCACCUGAAAGAGGCUGUUAGUGGAGAUGAAACAGCAAAGAGAAACAGGAGCCAGUGUAUAUAAGUAUGAAGACAAGCUGUUUUUCUACAGAAAGCACAAGUCAAGCCAAAAAUACAUACUGACUUCCUACAAAUUGUGUUAAGGGUUCUUUUUUAAUGUAUAAAAUUAUUUAUUGUCAAUAAAUUUUUAUUUAAGUGG
rnacentral:lncRNA from 1 species